AGUGAACGCUGGCGGUAGGCCUAACACAUGCAAGUCGAACGGCAGCACAGUAAGAGCUUGCUCUUACGGGUGGCGAGUGGCGGACGGGUGAGGAAUACAUCGGAAUCUACUUUUUCGUGGGGGAUAACGUAGGGAAACUUACGCUAAUACCGCAUACGACCUACGGGUGAAAGCAGUGGAUCUUCGGACCUUGCGCGAUUGAAUGAGCCGAUGUCGGAUUAGCUAGUUGGCGGGGUAAAGGCCCACCAAGGCGACGAUCCGUAGCUGGCCUGAGAGGAUGAUCAGCCACACUGGAACUGAGACACGGUCCAGACUCCUACGGGAGGCAGCAGUGGGGAAUAUUGGACAAUGGGCGCAAGCCUGAUCCAGCCAUACCGCGUGGGUGAAGAAGGCCUUCGGGUUGUAAAGCCCUUUUGUUGGGAAAGAAAAGCAGCAGGUUAAUACCCCGCUGUUCUGACGGUACCCAAAGAAUAAGCACCGGCUAACUUCGUG
rnacentral:rRNA from 1 species